GUGGAGGGGUCAAAAAAAAAAAAAAAAGGUAUCAAUUCUAGGGCUGUAGGUUGACCCCACAGUCAAAUAGUCAGUUAUAGGUUUUCAAUUAUAACAAACUGAUUAGUGUCUCUGACCCACAUUCAGUCCCACUGGGGAAAGGGGGAAACAAAAAA